rnacentral:rRNA from 1 species
GACGAACGCUGGCGGCGUGCUUAACACAUGCAAGUCGAACGGAAAGGCCCUGCUUUUGUGGGGUGCUCGAGUGGCGAACGGGUGAGUAACACGUGAGUAACCUGCCCUUGACUUUGGGAUAACUUCAGGAAACUGGGGCUAAUCCCGGAUAGGAGCUCCUGCUGCAUGGUGGGGGUUGGAAAGUUUCGGCGGUUGGGGAUGGACUCGCGGCUUAUCAGCUUGUUGGUGGGGUAGUGGCUUACCAAGGCUUUGACGGGUAGCCGGCCUGAGAGGGUGACCGGCCACAUUGGGACUGAGAUACGGCCCAGACUCCUACGGGAGGCAGCAGUGGGGAAUAUUGCACAAUGGGCGGAGGCCUGAUGCAGCAACGCCGCGUGCGGGAUGACGGCCUUCGGGUUGUAAACCGCUUUCGCCUGUGACGAAGCGUGAGUGACGGUAAUGGGUAAAGAAGCACCGGCUAACUACGUG